GAUGAACGCUAGCUACAGGCUUAACACAUGCAAGUCGAGGGGCAGCGCAGUGUAGCAAUGCAUGGGCGGCGACCGGCGCACGGGUGCGUAACGCGUAUCCAACCUUCCCGUUACUCAGGGAUAGCCUUCCGAAAGGGAGAUUAAUACCUGAUGGUGUUGAAAUUUCGCAUGUUAUUUCAACUAAAGAUUUAUCGGUAACGGAUGGGGAUGCGUGACAUUAGGUAGAUGGCGGGGUAACGGCCCACCAUGCCUACGAUGUCUAGGGGUUCUGAGAGGAAGGUCCCCCACACUGGAACUGAGACACGGUCCAGACUCCUACGGGAGGCAGCAGUGAGGAAUAUUGGUCAAUGGUCGGAAGACUGAACCAGCCAAGUAGCGUGAAGGAUGAAGGUUCUAUGGAUUGUAAACUUCUUUUAUACGGGAAUAAAACCACCUACGUGUAGGUGCUUGUAUGUACCGUAUGAAUAAGCAUCGGCUAACUCCGUGCCAGCCGCCGCCGUAAAAC
rnacentral:rRNA from 1 species